rnacentral:lncRNA from 1 species
CACUGCCAUUCCAAAAUGGCUGCUGUGGCUUCUGCUACCUAGCAUGAGGACGAAAAAGACAGUUAUCCAGAAAAAAAAGGAGUUGUUCAAUGUUAUUGGUGUAACAGUUGGGAUAAUUCGGAGUACAAUGUAUUUUUCAUUCCUGGAUUGAGCCCGAGAUCCUGAAGAGGCAAUUGCCAGGUACAGAAAGGUGCUGAAACACGUUCAAAGAGGGAAAACCAUGACUGCUGCUUUCCUGAAGGAGGCUGUGGAUCACAACACUAUUGAGUUCAACUCUCCAGUUGCCUAACUGGCAAUCGCUGCGCCUGACCAACUGACCACUUCAAAGACUUAUGAAAAAUGUACACUCGCAAUUAAAAAUGCUGUGUUUUUGCAAGCAAGUGGAAUAAUGUAAUUGAGAGUGAUUUGCGUGAAGGGCAAAAUAAAGAUUUUGAAAAAAACAGGAGAAUUUCCCAUGAAGAAGGGCAAGUGAAAUGUUAGCAAGUGAAAUGUUGUUGAGAUUUUGUUAUUAUUGAGACGAUCUGUACAGGCUGAUUUUCUUCCAAGGUUUUCCUCAUCAAGAAAUGUGACAUACUGUACUUCAUUUUCUAGUUUGAAUACACCAGCCCUGGCUCUCUCUCUCUCUCUCACUCUCUUUUUCUCUCUCUCAUCUCCCUCAUGUUCUCUCUGUAAGUCACUCGGAAGAUCUCAAUUGCAUAUUCCUCACUUCCUCUCUUUUCAUCUCCUUCUCAAAACCCAUUGGAGGAGAAUGUCAGAGGAGGAGGCACUCUGGCUUUCUCAUCCAAUGGGUUUUGAAAAGGAGAGAGGAGAGAGAAUGCCAGGCGUAUGCAAUUCAGAUCUUCCCACUGUCCUUAAGGCCAGAUUGUAAACUGUUCAGUGGUUGGAAGAUCAGUGGAUGUUCAAAGCACCCAUUUUAGGUUAUCCCUUUUGAACAAACAGAUAAUGUGGGUCAGACCUGGUUUAAUAAGGAUCAGCGCUUUAAAAAAAAAUCUCACCUACAAUGACAUACCCAAAUCUAACUGCCUGUAGCUCAGGCCCUGAAGCAAGGAUAUGCAUAUUCUUGGUACCAUUUGAAAGGAAACACUUUGAACUUUGUGGAAAUGUGAAAGGAAUGUAGGAGAAUAUAAUAGAAUAGAUCUGGUAAAAUAUAAUACAAAGAAAAAACCAACCGUUCUUUUGUAUUUUUUUUUGUACCAUCAUCUUUGAAAUGCAAGUGAAAGGCCAUAAUGUAUUAUUCCAGCCCAGGUGCAAUUUAGAUUUUGGCUACUAGAUGGCAGCAGUGUAUGUGCAAAGUUUUAGACUGAUCCAAUGAACCAUUGUAUUUCUGUUAAAAAUGUGGUAUCAAGACUGCAAACGUGUGCCUAAUGUGUUUAUUAAAAACUUUUCAUGUUCUUUCACUGUAAUAGCUAUUGUAAAUUGGACGGUGCAGUUAGAUUAACAAGAAUUUAAGCUUUCUGCCAAUAUCAGAUAUGUCUAUGUCCUGGGAAAUGUUCUUGUUACUUACAACCUCAUGCUAAUCGCAUUAGCCAACGUUAGCUCAACCGUCCCGUGGAAGGGACACCGAUCCCAAAG